GAUGAACGCUGGCGGCGUGCUUAACACAUGCAAGUCGAACGUGAAGACGUAGCAAUAUGUCUGAAAGUGGCGAACGGGUGAGUAACACGUGGGUGACCUGCCUCGGAGUGGGGGAUAACCAUGGGAAACUGUGGCUAAUACCGCAUGGGCUUGUUAGACUUGGCGUCUAACGAGUAAAGCUUUAGUGCUUCGAGAGGGGCCUGCGUCCGAUUAGGUAGUUGGUGAGGUAAGGCUCACCAAGCCGAUGAUCGGUAGCUGGUCUGAGAGGACGAUCAGCCACACGGGAACUGAGAAACGGUCCCGACUCCUACGGGGGCAGCAGUGAGGAAUAUUGGGCAAUGACGCAAGUCUGACCCAGCAACGCCGCGUGGAGGAUGAAGGUUCUUGGAUCGUAAACUCC
rnacentral:rRNA from 1 species